UCCCCCGUCGACCGAUCCAGGACCACAGCCUCAAACUGAGCCCCACCUGAGGUGCCACUGUGCACCCUGAACCCACAAAUCUCUCCUACCGUGGACAGAGGAGGAAGUAGGUUUAUACAGGCAGUUUGGGAGCGACCUCCUCGUUUCCACACCACCCUACCUAUCUCUUCUCUCCCCGCCCGGACUGCAAAAUGACGUCAAUUCGUCUCCCACCAGACUGAUACAGGAUUGCAUGUAGCCUACGUCCAGUAUGUUCUUCAUCGAUUUAAAAAAAAUACAAAUUGAAAUGCAGAAUUUGAAUUACAAAAAAGUUUAUUUAAAAUUCUGUUCUUUAUACAUUUGGUAGCAAUAAGGCAAAGUAGUCUGAAUAAUAACAAUUAAUACACAUCAAUUACCACCACAAGUAUAAAUAUUAUUUAAAAAUAUUAUCGUUAGUGAGCCGCAGCUCCCAUUCAGCCACUAUAACGAGCUGACUUCCUCACUGGAGUUUUUUAUUGAUGGUAUAAUCAUUAUCAUAACUUCGUUCAAUAGAAAAGCUGUGGUUUUGGUUGAAGGUUUUUUGCUUUGUGUUCUUGUUCAGGCAGAAUAAAAGAGUGAUGAAGCAGAAGUAAAAAAUAGUAGGAGACAAAAAUUGAGGAUUUGAAAUUGAAGUCACAACAAUGGAUGAAGAAAUGGACAGACAAAAUCACCCUUUGUGGAUCUUCCUUUCAAAGCUGCAAAACACCGUACACAAACGCCCAAAAAUAUCAACAAAUGAACAGCCAUAACACAAUAACACAAUGGCAACAAAGAAAAACUGAAUUUGUUAAAACCAGCGCAACCUUUAACAUUCGUCAAUAAACAAGGCAAUUAAACUAAAGUACAGUGUGUUGGCCAAGGUUUGUUGAAAAAAAAAAAGAGACCCAUACAAAAAUGGCCAUGAGAUGUAUGUCACUUUAAACGUGUAUGUGUGUCAAG